GCUUGCCUGGCUCAGUUGGUUAGAGCGCGAGUCUCAUAUUAGUCUAUGCGGAUGAUUAUAUCAUCUUGAUCUCGAGGUCGCAAGUUCGAUCCUUGCGGCGAGCA